rnacentral:rRNA from 1 species
GCGGCGGACGGCUGAGUAACGCGUAGGAAUGUACCCCAAAGUGAGGAAUAACUGCCUGAAAAGGUAGCUAAUGCCGCAUAUGGUCCACGGAUUAAAGCCUUCGGGCGCUUUGGGAGCAGCCUGCGUAUGAUUAGAUAGUUGGUGAGGUAAUGGCUCACCAAGUCUACGAUCAUUAGCUGGUCUGAGAGGAUUAUCAGCCAGACUGGGACUGAGACACGGCCCAGACUCC